rnacentral:rRNA from 1 species
GCUUAACACAUGCAAGUCGAGGGGCAGCAUGGUCUUAGCUUGCUAAGACUGAUGGCGACCGGCGCACGGGUGAGUAACACGUAUCCAACCUGCCGUCUACUCUUGGACAGCCUUCUGAAAGGAAGAUUAAUACAAGAUGGCAUCAUGAGUCCGCAUGUUCACAUGAUUAAAGGUAUUCCGGUAGACGAUGGGGAUGCGUUCCAUUAGAUAGUAGGCGGGGUAACGGCCCACCUAGUCUUCGAUGGAUAGGGGUUCUGAGAGGAAGGUCCCCCACAUUGGAACUGAGACACGGUCCAAACUCCUACGGGAGGCAGCAGUGAGGAAUAUUGGUCAAUGGGCGAGAGCCUGAACCAGCCAAGUAGCGUGAAGGAUGACUGCCCUAUGGGUUGUAAACUUCUUUUAUAAAGGAAUAAAGUCGGGUAUGGAUACCCGUUUGCAUGUACUUUAUGAAUAAGGAUCGGCUAACUCCGUGCCAGCAGCCGCGGUAAUACGGAGGAUCCGAGCGUUAUCCGGAUUUAUUGGGUUUAAAGGGAGCGUAGAUGGAUGUUUAAGUCAGUUGUGAAAGUUUGCGGCUCAACCGUAAAAUUGCAGUUGAUACUGGAUAUCUUGAGUGCAGUUGAGGCAGGCGGAAUUCGUGGUGUAGCGGUGAAAUGCUUAGAUAUCACGAAGAACUCCGAUUGCGAAGGCAGCCUGCUAAGCUGCAACUGACAUUGAGGCUCGAAAGUGUGGGUAUCAAACAGGAUUAGAUACCCUGGUAGUCCACACGGUAAACGAUGAAUACUCGCUGUUUGCGAUAUACUGCAAGCGGCCAAGCGAAAGCGUUAAGUAUUCCACCUGGGGAGUACGCCGGCAACGGUGAAACUCAAAGGAAUUGACGGGGGCCCGCACAAGCGGAGGAGCAUGUGGUUUAAUUCGAUGAUACGCGAGGAACCUUACCCGGGCUUAAAUUGCAGAUGAAUUACGGUGAAAGCCGUAAGCCGCAAGGCAUCUGUGAAGGUGCUGCAUGGUUGUCGUCAGCUCGUGCCGUGAGGUGUCGGCUUAAGUGCCAUAACGAGCGCAACCCUUGUUGUCAGUUACUAACAGGUUCCGCUGAGGACUCUGACAAGACUGCCAUCGUAAGAUGUGAGGAAGGUGGGGAUGACGUCAAAUCAGCACGGCCCUUACGUCCGGGGCUACACACGUGUUACAAUGGGGGGUACAGAGGGCCGCUACCACGCGAGUGGAUGCCAAUCCCCAAAACCUCUCUCAGUUCGGACUGGAGUCUGCAACCCGACUCCACGAAGCUGGAUUCGCUAGUAAUCGCGCAUCAGCCACGGCGCGGUGAAUACGUUCCCGGGCCUUGUACACACCGCCCGUCAAGCCAUGGGAGCCGGGGGUACCUGAAGUGCGUAACCACGAGGAGCGCCCUAGGGUAAAACUGGUGACUGGGGCUAAG